rnacentral:rRNA from 1 species
GUUCUCCUACGGGAGGCAGCAGUGAGGAAUAUUGGUCAAUGGGCGAGAGCCUGAACCAGCCACGUCGCGUGAGGGAGUACUGCUCUAUGGGUUGUAAACCUCUUUUGUCGGGGAGCAAAACCCGGGACGUGUCCCGGACUGCGUGUAUCCGAAGAAAAAGCAUCGGCUAACUCCGUGCCAGCAGCCGCGGUAAUACGGAGGAUGCGAGCGUUAUCCGGAUUUAUUGGGUUUAAAGGGUGCGUAGGCGGAAUGCCAAGUCAGCGGUAAAAUCGCGGGGCUCACCCUCGCUCCGCCGUUGAAACUGG